UGCUGGAGCAGGAACUAGCUCGUUCAUGGGAAACAAACCUCUUCCUGUGUCAGCAUUUGGGUCCUUUGAUCUCUAGCCUGGAAAGAACAGAACAAAAAUACCUGUGAUACAAAGGAGGUGAAAUCUGAGAUGGGUUUUAUAGAAAACUGAGUCAAGGAAGGAAGUGAUGGAGGAGGAAAGGAACGGAUGAAAGAAGGAAGGAGAGAGGGAAAGAAGGAGGAAGGAAGAAAGAAAUCAAGGAAGAAGAGAUGGAAGGAAGAGAGGAGGGAAGGAAGGAAAGAAGGAAAGAAAAAAGGAAGGAAAGAAGGAAAGAAAGAAGGAAGGAAGGAAUGAAGGAACGAAGGAACGAAGGAAAGAAGGAAGGAAGGAAGGAAGAAGGAAGGAAGGAAGGAAAGAAGGAAGGAAGGAAGGAAAGAAGGAAGAAAGGAAGGAAGGAAAGAAGGAAGGAAGGGAGAGAAGAUUAAAAUAUUUUGGAAUUAGAAUCAGAUGAGAAAACUGAGGCAAACUAAGGUGAAGUGCCUGGAACAGUAUACAGUAUUCUCCAUCUCCCACAACCUCUGCUUUUCUAACGUGAUACAAGGGAAUGAGCUCUGGCCUCAGAUUCCGAGGACUCCUCCUCUGAAUUCCUCUAACCCUCAAUUUCUUCAUCUACAAAGUGAACAGUUGGAUUAGAUUGAUGUCUAUUGCCUCUUCCAACUAUGAUCCCAUGAUCCUAAAUUGCUUCAUCUCUCUGAUUUGGAUUUGGUUCUUUAUAAAAUAAAGUUGAUUGAUUAAAUAAGAA